UACGGAGGGUGCAAGCGUUGUUCGGAAUCAUUGGGCGUAAAGCGCGUGUAGGUGGCUUGGCAAGUCGGUUGUGAAAUCCCGGGGCCCAACCCCGGAACUGCAUUCGAAACUGCCUCGCUAGAGUCCAGGAGAGGAAGGCGGAAUUCCCGGUGUAGAGGUGAAAUUCGUAGAUAUCGGGAGGAACACCAGCGGCGAAGGCGGCCUUCUGGACGGUGACUGACACUGAGACGCGAAAGCGUGGGGAGCAAACAGG
rnacentral:rRNA from 1 species